AGGUGGGUGCAGCUACUAUUGUGGGUGGGAAGUUAGGAAAGUAGGAUACAUAAGGUUAUUUAUGUAUUUAAUUAAAAUACUCUUAUGUAAGUAACAAAAAACUAUUACUGAUGAAAGACGAUUCUGAGCAGAUUUCGGUUAAUAGUAUUUCUACAUAAUGUGUGUGAAAUUGUACAUUGUUCCCGAUUUGCCCCAUAUAUUAUGCAAAUUAUUUGUAAAAUCGAAAAUUAACUUCUGGCAUAAGAAAUAAGAUCCAAUAUAAAACAAAAAGAGUCAUUGUCGUUUUUCCAUUAGAGCACUAUUUCUGCUAGAAAUCGUCGUCCGUAAUUAUAUAAAACAAUGAAAUCGUGAAAUUUGGAUAAUUGUUUGUGGA